GGAAGAGCCGGGUCGCUCUCGUCAGCUGAGGAGAAUGAUUCAUAGAGGAGGGUCAGGAGAGAACAUCUCUGUCUGUGAAAGCCCACUUAAAAGGCUGGACUGUUCUCCGAGGGAGGGAGAGGCAGGGGAGCAAGCAGGGUCUCGUGCCUGACCCUCAACGUUAGGCCAUCCGCCAGGCCUCUACCGAGUACUGGGCCUUGUCAGGGGUGGCGGCAAAGCGCCGGUUGCUGGGGGACCGGUGACGUCGCGGGGUGAAAGUUGAGGGGCGGUGACGUCGGGCCUGCCCGGGCGGAGGCUGGCGGGCUGGAGGCAGAGGGAGGGAGGGAAGGAGGGAAGGAAGGAAGCUGGGAAGAAGCGAGCGAGCGGGGGCGCGAGGCGUUUACCUGGAGGCAGCGGCUUGGGCGCGCAGAGCGGCCGCGGCUCCCCCGCACCUGCGGCCAUGGAUGAGGAGCGCGCCCUCUACAUCGUCCGGGCCGGCGAGGCGGGGGCUAUCGAGCGGGUCCUGAGGGAUUACAGCGAUAAGCAUAGGGCUACUUUCAAAUUUGAAUCAACAGAUGAAGAUAAAAGAAAGAAACUCUGCGAAGGCAUAUUUAAAGUCCUUUUAAAGGACAUCCCAACAACAUGUCAAGUGUCCUGCCUGGAAGUUCUCCGCAUUCUCUCCAGAGACAAAAAGGUUUUAGUUCCUGUAACAACCAAGGAAAAUAUGCAGAUACUGCUGCGACUAGCCAAGCUAAAUGAGUCGGAUGAUUCUUUGGAGAAGGUGUCAGAGUUCCCAGUUAUUGUGGAGUCAUUAAAAUGUCUUUGUAACAUAGUGUUCAACAGUCAGAUGGCACAGCAGCUCAGUCUGGAACUUAACCUUGCUGCAAAGCUCUGUAACCUCCUGAGAAAGUGCAAGGACCGAAAGUUUAUCAAUGACAUUAAGUGCUUUGACUUGCGCUUGCUCUUCGUCCUGUCACUUUUGCACACCGACAUCAGGUCACAAUUGCGCUAUGAGCUCCAAGGACUACCGCUGCUAACCCAGAUCUUGGAAAGUGCCUUUAGCAUCAAGUGGACCGAUGAAUAUGAAUCGGCCAUAGACCAUAAUGGACCUCCUCUCUCACCUCAGGAGACAGACUGUGCCAUUGAGGCCCUUAAAGCUCUCUUCAAUGUGACAGUAGACAGUUGGAAGGUGCAUAAAGAGAGUGAGUCUCAUCAGUUCCGCGUCAUGGCAGCUGUCCUUCGCCAUUGUUUACUAAUCGUAGGUCCAACUGAAGACAAAACAGAAGAGCUACACAGCAAUGCAGUCAACCUUUUAAGCAAUGUUCCGGUCUCUUGUUUGGAUGUUCUCAUUUGUCCAUUAACCCAUGAAGAAACAGCCCAAGAAGCAACGACUGUAGAUGAACUGCCCAGUGAUAAAACAGCUGAGAAAGAAACGGUUUUGAAAAGCAAUACCAUGGUAUACAAUGGUAUGAAUAUGGAAGCCAUUCAUGUCUUACUCAAUUUUAUGGAGAAGAGAAUAGACAAGGGAAGCAGCUAUAGAGAGGGUCUCACUCCAGUUCUCAGCUUGUUAACAGAAUGUUCCCGAGCCCAUCGAAACAUCAGAAAAUUUCUCAAAGAUCAGGUUUUACCACCAUUGAGGGAUGUGACAAAUCGACCUGAAGUUGGCUCAACUGUGAGAAAUAAGCUGGUGCGCCUCAUGACACAUGUUGACCUGGGAGUCAAGCAAAUUGCUGCUGAAUUCCUUUUUGUCCUUUGCAAAGAGAGAGUGGAUAGUCUCCUGAAAUACACUGGCUAUGGGAAUGCUGCAGGACUGCUGGCGGCCAGGGGCCUCUUGGCUGGAGGAAGAGGAGAUAAUUGGUACUCAGAGGACGAGGACACAGACACUGAAGAAUACAAAAAUGCAAAACCAAACAUUAAUCUUAUCACUGGUCAUUUAGAGGAACCAAUGCCAAACCCCAUAGAUGAAAUGACAGAAGAACAAAAAGAAUAUGAAGCCAUGAAACUUGUCAACAUGCUUGAUAAACUUUCCAGGAGAGCAGAUGUGAAGGACCUGCACCAGGAUGGUGGUUAGCAACAGUGGCCCGUGCGAAAGCACUUACCAAAGUGAUGACUAAGGUUGGUCAUGCCAAGUACUAUUACUGAGCCUGGUGUAGGGUACAGAUGUUAUUUACCACCAAAACGGUAAAAACCACCAGUGCAAAAAUUUAAAUUACAUUCCCAUUUUGCCUCCAGGCUGGACAUAGCCACUGCCUCAAGUUGCUCACCACCUUAGCAACUUUAUCUAAGCUAGAUUUUUAAGGACCCUGGAGAGAUCAGUGCUGAAACAUUUUUUUCCCAUUGAAUACCAACGGACAGUGGUAGUCCAUGUGAUUUUUCUUUUUUUAUUAUAAGGAUUCUGUUUGUGACAGAUGUAGGUAAGGGGAUUGGCAGUGGACCUGGAGGUCUUAAGAGUUUGAGAAUAAUAUAAAUCCUAUAAAUCCCAUCAUGUCUAGCUAGUACAGUGCCUUGUACCCUGUGAUUUUCCCAUUGUGUUUGAUGAAAUGUCAAAGCUGAUCCCCAAAUCAAAGGUUAAUUUUUUUGCUCAAUAAAAUAGCCUACAUGGUUUAAAGACUUUAAAGUAUACUUUUGUCAGUUCAAUUACUUGGCCAGAUGUCAUAAAAUUUAGGUCUGGAAAGGAAUUCUGUAAGGUACUUUGGUCCAUGAGUGGCUAAUUUAAAUAAUGGGGUGCCUAAUUUCUUUAAUAUAGAAUAAUAAUUGUAAUAUUUAUCAGACAUAAGCAUUAAGGCCUGAGGCAUGGAGAUUAUAGAAAGCUUCAUUUGACAUUUUUAAUGUGAGAACAGAGGUGGGAAGGAGGAUGAAAUUGGCCUGCCUCUCCACCUCUUCUUUCCUUUUUUGAACUGGAAAAAAUAUAAGUCCCUGCAACCUUAAGUGGGAGAUUAGAAUUCGGAUUGUAUGUGGUUAAGCAAGUCCAGUGUGGCUAAUACAAUUGCAUUCACCUUAGCUACCGCACACAAUUUGCAUAUAACAGCACAGCCUCCUCCAGAAGAGGGGAGAGAGGAUUGACUGACUUAAGCCUAAACUAACCAAGGGAAGUAAUAUUUCAAGUUUCAAGUUUUGUUUUGACUUUUCUAAUCUCCCUUAGUUUCUUAAUUGGAACAGGACUGAUUAAUCUUCUACUCCACACUUACCCCAUCACUGUUUAACAAGGUACAUUGCCUUUUUGCUUAUAAAUUAUAUCAAAAUCUUCUAAAAUUUACAUCUAUAUAAAUAAUUGUUUUCCAUUUCUUCCCUUUCUUAUCUACUCCUUGUCUAAUAUAUUUUUGCCAGCCAUUGUGUAGUAUUGGUGGGAUAUGGCUUUCUUAAUAAAUUCAAGUACCAAAUAUAGAAAUAGUUCCCCUUAAGUCUCCAAAUAUUAUUUUUAAGCUUAGUAAAGCUGGGACAGGUAGUUUAUGACUGAAAGUAAUAACUAUAUAAUUUUUUCCUUAUAACUAAAUUUCUUGACCCUGCUUAUAAAAAUAACAACUGUGAUUACUCCCACCUUGAUGAGUUAAUCAAGGAAAUGCUUUGUAGGUACAUUUUAGAAAUAUGAUCCUGUAUUUAUAGCAUUGUAAGAUCUAUUGUGGGUAUGAAAGUGUAAUGAUCUUAAUUGCUUACAUCAGAAAAUCCUUUAGAUUUGCACUGUCCAAUAUGGUAACCACUAAUCAUAUGUGACUAUGGCUAGUCUGAAUUGGGAUGUCUUCUAAGUGUUAAAGUACUCAGACAUUCAAAGACUCAGUACAAAAAGAGAAUAUAAAAUACCUCAAUUGUUUAUUAUGAAUUUAUGUCGAAAUAAUAUUUUUGAUAUAUUGAGUUAAGCAAAUUAUUUUAAAACUAAUCUUACCUAUCUUUUCUCACUUUUUUGAUGUGGCUUCUAGAACAUUUAAGAUUACAUAUAUAUGGCUUACAUUAUGUUUCUGUUAGACAGCACUGUUCUACCCCAUUAAAAAUACACUGCAAGUUUGCUUAGAAGCUUAAUUAAAGGAACUUGGAUCCAGUUAAACUAAUAUACCCUUACAGUGGUAAAGGAGAAAUAUGAUAUUGUUCAUCUUUAGGUUAAAGAGGGCCUUUCCACUGGCUGGACACCUCUAAGUAGGAUGUCAUGCAAUCUUUGUAUUGCUCAUUAGUAGUCAUUGUCCCUUAACUCUGUAGUAGGAAUGCCUAUGAGCUCUUGAUUUAAGCACUAGCCAAAAUGACUUUUGUUUAUUAGAGAAACAUCAAAUAAGAAUAAUCUCCAUUGACUACUUGCUCUUAGUCACCCUCCUCCUUUAAGUCUUUCUAAUUGAGAAGAGCAUGUCAGAACUUCCAUUUCUACUGCUUUAUUCAACACUGUCAGUUGGCAUGCUGACCUCUUAUUAAUAUUUAUUUUGCUAAUUUUGGACAACAAGAUAGAAAGGUCUGUAGAGAAAUUACCAAGAAAUAAAGAUCACCUUCACUUAAGGGUCAAACUCAGUUUUAUUUUUCUAACACUAUCCCUAACCUCUUUCUCUAUAUUUUCUUAACUAUACUCUUUAAUGUGAGGUGGAUAGCACAUUUUUAGAAGCUUUGCAUGUGAUCUUCUAACAGAAAUGAGAAUAAUAAAAGACUAAUAUUUUGUAUAUUGCUUUUAAGUUUGAAAACAGCCUUGUGAAUUAGAUAGGGUAAGAGAUAUUUUAUUGAGGUGUAAAUGGGACCAGUGAUUAAGUAUCUAAACCAAGAUCACGCAUCUUGUUAAUAUCAGUCAGGAUUUGGUUCUUAGACUUCAGACUCCAAAUCUUAAAUGUUAUUUUAAAAAAUUACCAACAUACAGCUCUCAAAUUUGUCAGUCUGAUUAUCUUUAUUUAGUAAGAUGCUCUAAAUUUUAAAUAGAUUCAAAGGACAAAGACUGAUAGUAAGCAUAUUUACCUGAGAAGAAAAUUAAGAUUUGGAGGCCAUUCCUGCUUUUUCAUUCCAUAAUUGAGCUUUCCUCAAAUAUCAAGUCAGGUCCUAAGCAGCUUAUAUCAAAAACAAAAACAGCUUCAUAUGAAGGAAACCAGUAAAAUUGCUAUAAUUCUAUGUUAAUAUAAAAUAUUUUAAUUGUUUUGAAAAGAGAAUAGAUAUUCUGAUAGAUUCUUAUAUUCAGUGUGAUCAUAUGAAGAAAAUUAACUUUAGAAAGGCUUCCCUAUUUACAAGGCUGUUGCCUGUUUAUUCAACUCCCAAAGUGAAAGGACAUGCAUGGUGUGGACAAUGUACCAUAUCCAUUUCUCUUGGGAAUGAUAUUUUUAUGUUAUAUAUUUUAACUUCCCAACUGUACCCAAUCCCAAAGCAUGACAGUGAGGCUGAGGGAAGGGUCUCAGAAAUGUUUUUGAAAAACGGAGCUUGAAGACCUCAGAUUUGGUACAGAAAAGCCACCACACCUUUCCUACCUAUUGGUUAGUGGCUUAGUAAAAGAUGAGUAUAACUUCAGCACUAGGAAGCCAUUCAGAUGGAAGAUUAUACUAAAGAUGAAGGAUCAGCACAGAACAUGCUCUUAUGGUAUAUAACUAAACAUUUAACUAAUGCCAAAAGUUUUAUUAAUUUCUUGAGGACAAAGCAUUUAAAACACUUCAGAGUAUCACAAGUUUUGAGGAAAUCCAUCGUCCUUCAGUAGAUUAUGGACUAUUCCAUUGAUGCUGAAAUGUUGAAAUAAGAUGCACUCUCAGAAUUACAGCAGGGAUUACAGAGCUUCCUUCUCCGGGCUCUCACAGGCUCCUUCACAGCAGGCAUUUUUGGAAAUGCUCUGUUAAUUAAAAUGCCUUAUUUAUAUACUAAUUUUCAUCCUAUCUUCCAAAUGUGAAAGGGAAUUAAAUACGAAAUGGCUAAUUUUAAAUGUCAGGGUUCUUUUUUUCCAAGCCAACCUUACAUUAAGAACAGGAAUCCCUGUGCCAAAGAAAUGGUUCCCAAUUAUCCCAUCCUGGGUUUUGUUAUACAUUGUACAGAAGUCAACAAAACAAGUAUGUAACAGAACCUGCCUAAAUAACAGCCACCCUCAUUAAAAUCAGAAUUAAUCAGGGGGUGAUUGAAGGAAGCAAUGCUUCAUAGGUUCCCCCUUUUUCUUCUUUUCUAAUCAUAGAACAAAAUAUGUUACAUAAAAGGAUUGGAACUAUUAUGCAGUACUCAAUUAGAGGGAGGUGAAUAGGUCUCUAACAUGCUGUUUUAUCAAAAGAGCAGACUGGUGUUUGCAUGACUGUUGUUUCAUUACAGACCCUGUCAUUAAUUCCAUGUGUCAAUACUGCCCUGUAGUACACAGAGCAGACAAGAAAGAAGAGCCCUUGAAAACAAGGGAAUGAUUUUUGAGUCGUUAUCAAGCUAAGUGGCAAGCGGGAAGCUGAAACUCGUAUAGUUGAACAUUCUUGGAGGCUUAUCUCUUCCCUGGCCAGAUGCCUGAUCAGAUGAGAAGCCCGCCAUGAUACUGUCACAGUGCCUAGAAUGGGCUCUUUAUCCAGUAGACAUCACUGUACUUUUUGAUGAUAACGAGGGCAGUCUUAACUUGUGUUAAGGCCUGUGUAUAGCAUUGAAGAGAGGAGUUGCUUAAACCAAUGGGACUAAAACCUGAUGGGACAAUAACGCCUUUGGAGGAAGCACUCAACCAGUACUCUGUCAUCGAGGAGACCAGCUCUGACACAGACUGAAAGCGUCACCUGCUCACCUCUCC